AGUUUCUUCACUAGCGCACACACUUUCAUUCGCACAGUUAUGAGAACGGCAAGUUUUUUCUCAAGUGUUUAAUUUAUUGUAGUAUUUUUAACUGAAGUAUGUCGUCAUCAGCGGGCUGUAACAGGACGAGUCCUCGCGUUGAUGAAUCUGAGGUCUCGACAGAUUUCUUUGUUGCCAACAGGGCCUGAAAGUCUUGAAGCCUCAGUGGACGUCUCUGUUUGAAUGUCUCAUACAGAAGAUGUUUGUUCACCUCCAGCAGCUUCAAACGGACCCUGUCUUCAUCUCUGUCAUGUAAAUCAAACGAAUCAAAUCCUCUUUGCUGUGUGUCACACUUCCACAUUCUCACAAUGCUGUAAAUAAAAAUAAUACACAAUUAAAAACAACAUGCACACAAACUUACACACAAUAUUGUGUCAUUAAAUCUGGACAUUUUGUACAUACAUCAA